GUGAGUUCCAAAACCUGGUCAACCAGUUGUCGUCUGUAGAGAUGGCACUUAGCGAUGAAGUUCAGGCUCUGUUACUACUCAGUUCCCUUCCCGAUAGUUAGGAAAUGCUGGUCGUAUUACUCAGCAACUCAGCCCCUAAUGGCAAACAUACCAUGUCAAUGGUCAAGGAUGCCCUAUUCAGUGAAGAGGCAAGGAGAAAGGAGAUGGGCACAGAUCAGACCCAUGCCUUUGUCACAGAGAACCGGG
rnacentral:lncRNA from 1 species